rnacentral:rRNA from 1 species
GAUGAACGCUGGCGGCGUGCCUAAUACAUGCAAGUCGAGCGAACGGACGAGAAGCUUGCUUUUCUGAUGUUAGCGGCGGACGGGUGAGUAACACGUGGAUAACCUACCUAUAAGACUGGGAUAACUUCGGGAAACCGGAGCUAAUACCGGAUAAUAUUUUGAACCGCAUGGUUCAAAAGUGAAAGACGGUCUUGCUGUCACUUAUAGAUGGAUCCGCGCUGCAUUAGCUAGUUGGUAAGGUAACGGCUUACCAAGGCAACGAUGCAUAGCCGACCUGAGAGGGUGAUCGGCCACACUGGAACUGAGACACGGUCCAGACUCCUACGGGAGGCAGCAGUAGGGAAUCUUCCGCAAAGGGCGAAAGCCUGACGGAGCAACGCCGCGUGAGUGAUGAAGGUCUUCGGAUCGUAAAACUCUGUUAUUAGGGAAGAACAUAUGUGUAAGUAACUGUGCACAUCUUGACGGUACCUAAUCAGAAAGCCACGGCUAACCACGUG